GAUGAAGAACGCAGUGAAAUGCGAUAAGUAAUGCGAAUUGCAGAAUUUCCGUGAGUCAUCGAAUCUUUGAACGCACAUUGCGCCCACUGGUAUUCCGGUGGGCAUGCCUGUUCGAGCGUCAUUUCAACCCUCAAGCUCUGCUUGGUGUUGGGCCCUGCCCGCUGCGGCCGGCCCUAAAGACAGUGGCGGUGCCGCCUGGCCCUGAGCGUAGUACAUCUCUCGCUCCAGUGCCCGGUGGUAGCCUGCCAGAACCCCAACUCUCGUGGUUGACCUCGGAUCAGGUAGGGAUACCCGCUGAACUUAAGCAUAUCAAUAAGCGGAGGA
rnacentral:misc_RNA from 1 species